rnacentral:rRNA from 1 species
CUGGCCUUGACAUCCUGCGAACUUUCCAGAGAUGGAUUGGUGCCUUCGGGAACUCUGAGACAGGUGCUGCAUGGCCGUCGUCAGCUCGUGUCGUGAGAUGUUGGGUUAAGUCCCGUAACGAGCGCAACCCCUAUCCCUAGUUGCUAGCAGUUCGGCUGAGAACUCUAGGGAGACUGCCGGUGACAAACCGGAGGAAGGUGGGGAUGACGUCAGGUCAUCAUGGCCCUUACGGCCAGGGCUACACACGUGCUACAAUGGUGCGUACAGAGGGCUGCAAACCCGCGAGGGGGAGCUAAUCUCACAAAACGCAUCGUAGUCCGGAUCGGAGUCUGCAACUCGACUCCGUGAAGUCGGAAUCGCUAGUAAUCGCGAAUCAGAAUGUCGCGGUGAAUACGUUCCC